rnacentral:rRNA from 1 species
CAGUCGCCGCGGGAAUACGGAGGGUGCAAGCGUUAAUCGGAAUUACUGGGCGUAAAGCGCACGCAGGCGGUCUGACAAGUCAGAUGUGAAAUCCCCGGGCUUAACCUGGGAACUGCAUUUGAAACUGUCAGGCUGGAGUCUUGUAGAGGGGGGUGGAAUUCCAGGUGUAGCGGUGAAAUGCGUAGAGAUCUGGAGGAAUACCGGUGGCGAAGGCGGCCCCCUGGACAAAGACUGACGCUCAGGUGCGAAAGCGUGGGGAGCAAACAGGAUUAGAUACCCCGGUAGUCCCUGUCUCUUAUAA